AAAAUAAAGAAAUAGCUUUGCGUGUGUUGAGAGCUGACUCUACCAACAGAUUAUUGAGAGAAGACAAGUGCCAACAACAAAGUGCUAGAAAUUGCAGGUGGGAACAAGAGCCCAGGCAGAGAGAAUUCGGACUUACAAUUUCACCCAGGAUAGAGUCACUGACCACAGGAUAGCAUAUGAAGUUCGUGACAUUAAGGAAUUUUUAUGUGGCGAGAGGUCCUUGGAUCAGCUAAUUCAGAGACUGCUUCAAUCAGCAGAUGAAGAAGCCAUUGUAGAACUUUUGGAUGAAAACCUUAGAUCAGUAAAAUAAGUGCUUUUUUAUUAUUAUAUAAAUGGAAUGGUUCAAACCCCAGUACCGCCACCCACCCCACCCCCAACAAAAGGAAUGGACUUCUAUCAAGAA